AGUAGGUGCUCACAAGAUCUGGUUGUUUAAAAGUGUGUAGCACGUUUGCCAUCUCAUCUCUCUCUUUUCCUCCUGUUUUAGCCAUGUGAAGAUGUGCCUGCUUCCCAUUUGCCUUCCACCAUGAUUGUAUGUUUCCAGAGGCCACCCCAGACAUGCUUCCCGUAUAGCCUGUGGAACCAUGCACCAAUUAAAUCUCUUUUCUUUACAAAUUACCCAGUCUCAGGCCCUGACAUCAUGAUGAUGAUGAUAAUACCUGAUAUUUACAGAGCACCUACUAUGUACCAGAAAUGACUCAUUGUCUUCUAUAAGCUUUAGUUGAUUUAAUUUCCCCCAACAUACCUGCAAAGGUGACAUCAAUAUCUCAGUUUAACAUACGAGAAAACUGGGACUCAGUCUCUAAAAGUUAUACCAGCUAGCAAGUGGCAAGCAAGAAGCAAACUUGUGUUUCUCUAGCAUUAGAGUCAAAUUCUUCCCACCACAUAUUCUGCCUUUUACUCUACGUCAUGUUUUUUUUAAUCUAUUGUUCUUACGACAGAAGUCAUCAUUGGAGUUCUUCACUCUCCGUGCUCCUAUUUUUUAAGCUUUUUCUUUCUCUUGGGCUGGUAUUUUUGCUGUAUAAUCCAUUUAUUUAUAUAUUGAUAUUGCUACUCUAAUAAAGAAUUCCAUUUUAGUAAAACUUUCAGCUUUCAACACAAAGAUGCUGUUAAAAAAAUAAGAGUUGCUGGGCCCUGUUCUAACUAGCUUUUCCAAAACCUCAGUUAUUCUUUUAUGUUGUACAUAUUUAAGGACUUUUCAGUAAGUACCCCCAAUCUCCCCCAAAUACCAAUGUGGUUACUGUGGAGACAUAAAUGUAAGUUAGAAAGCAGUCAGGCCCCUAAUUGAUACCGACAGUCAAUUAGUGCUUCAAAGCAGCUGGCUCAGUUUUUGCAUAUAGAGAACAUGAGAGAAAGAGUAUAGUUUGUUGUGGCGUAAUCUCUGUUGCUUCAUUGUGGACAAGAGCUAUAUAUGCUACUGGAUGGUUUCUACAGAAAACUAAGCAAGUUUCUCACUGGUUGCUAAUGGGAUGGUAGCAUUAUGGGAAACAAUGAUAUUGUGUGAUUUGAACCCAUUAGUGUUCCCUUUCUAAAGUUCCAGACUUGAACCAACUCCGACUCUGUUCAGGUCAAAAGUCUUCUUAAUCUCUGUGUUGUGCUGAUCAAACCUCAAACUGUCGGGUCAAAUUAUUUCCAUUGGGCCAGUUCUAUUUGUGAUUAAUUAAAAUUUCUUCUUGAUUGCAUACAGUUCUUUUAAAUGUAUAAUCCCUUUAUUGUGUAGCGAAUUGAGAAUAUGGUCCUAAUUUAAAAACAAAUAUUCAUGUGGGCCCCUCAGUAUGAUGUAAGC
rnacentral:lncRNA from 10 species